UACGAGGGGUGCAAGCGUUAUUCGGAAUUAUUGGGCGUAAAGGGUGUGUAGACGGCAUGCUAAGUCAACUGUUUAAUUCUCCGGCCUAACCGGAGGUCAGCAGUAGAAACUGGCGUGCUAGAGGGUGGAAGAGAGAAGUGGAAUUCUCGGAGUAGCGGUAAAAUGCGUAGAUCUCGAGAGGAACACCAAUGGCGAAAGCAGCUUCUUGGUCCACAUCUGACGUUGAGACACGAAAGCGUGGGGAGCAAACAGG
rnacentral:rRNA from 1 species